CAGAUGGAAAAAAAAGUAUGAGCCACAGACCCCUGGUGUUCUGUCCAUCAAGGGGAGAGAGGUUGCCAUUGGAGAGUACAUUUGGAAGUCAUCGGUAGAGAAAUGGUGCUUAAAGUGAUGACGGCUCCUUGUGAAGGAAACCGAGGGAAUUAUAGUUUCCAAUGGUCACUUUAAAAAAUAGCUCAAGUCAACAGCCUGCUGAAUUUUAUAGAAACACAGAUUUGCAUUUGGUGAAGCUACAAUUGUCUAUCUUAAUGGAACCAGAAAAUUACUUUGUUAGCCAUAAAAACUUUGAGUACUUCAAGAUUACUGUAAGAGUUGGGUAAGAAAAAGGCCUUUGUAUUAUUGAUGUGCUGCAGUUGCUGAUGCUUGAAGACCAUUUCCCAGCCAUAAAUGGCAAUGCUGCAAGAGUUGAUUAAAAAGUAUACUAUCCAACACCAAAACUCUAGGAAUGUAAGCAAGCAGGUAAAUGCAUGACACUAAUAUCAAAAGACGAGGAAGCAAAAUCAUUUCACUUAGAGCACAGGCAUCUAAGUAGGUGGAAAGUUAUGGAGGGACGUGGAAGACCAUCAAUACUAUCUGAAAUCUUAAUCUAUUGUGAAGAAGAUAGGGUCACAUUUUGUGGAGAGUGAUUGGGAGUUGGGGAAAGGUUUCCCUAAGUAAAGCUAUAGAAACUGAAGGCACUUGAACAGUUUUUGGGUAUUGGGUAGAAGGCAGAUUAGGGAGUAAAUGCUUCAUGGGAUAAGAAGUGACUAUUGAAACUAUAAACACUGCAGAGUAAUUUUCCAAUACAGUAAUAACCCCAAACAUUGCUAUACCAUAUUUACUACAAUUGAGGGUCUGUUUGUCUAGAAAGGGCUGUUUGGGCCCCAGCACAAUAGCCUCAUGUCUAAAUCCUUACCUUGCAUGAUGGGGAUCCUGUAUGGGCACCAGUUUGUGUUCUGGCUGCUCCACUUUCCUUCAAGCUCCCGGCUUGUGGCUGGGAAACGCAAUAGAGGGUGGCCCAAAGCCUUGGGACCCCAUGUUCACAUGGGAGACCCAGAAGAAGCUCCUGGUUCCUGAAACUUUAUGCUGGUUCCGGGUUUUAGAUUGGCUCAGCUCCAGCCCUGGCAGCCAUCUGGGGAAUGAACCAGCUGGUGGAAGA